CUUAUCUGUAAAAUGAGGAUAAUAGUGC
rnacentral:piRNA from 1 species